rnacentral:ncRNA from 1 species
AAAAAGGCCCUUUUCAGGGCCACCAUUAUUUAAUUAUUGUUCUCAG